GACGUUGGGAAAGCGAGCGGCGGAUGGGUGAGUAACACGUGGGGAACCUGCCCCUAAGUCUGGGAUACCAUUUGGAAACAGGUGCUAAUACCGGAUAAUAAAGCAGAUCGCAUGAUCAGCUUUUGAAAGGCGGCGUAAGCUGUCGCUAAGGGAUGGCCCCGCGGUGCAUUAGCUAGUUGGUAAGGUAACGGCUUACCAAGGCGACGAUGCAUAGCCGAGUUGAGAGACUGAUCGGCCACAUUGGGACUGAGACACGGCCCAAACUCCUACGGGAGGCAGCAGUAGGGAAUCUUCCACAAUGGACGCAAGUCUGAUGGAGCAACGCCGCGUGAGUGAAGAAGGUUUUCGGAUCGUAAAGCUCUGUUGUUGGUGAAGAAGGAUAGAGGUAGUAACUGGCCUUUAUUUGACGGUAAUCAACCAGAAAGUCACGGCUAACUACGUGCCAGCAGCCGCGGUAAUACGUAGGUGGCAAGCGUUGUCCGGAUUUAUUGGGCGUAAAGCGAGCGCAGGCGGAAAAAUAAGUCUAAUGUGAAAGCCCUCGGCUUAACCGAGGAACUGCAUCGGAAACUGUUUUUCUUGAGUGCAGAAGAGGAGAGUGGAACUCCAUGUGUAGCGGUGGAAUGCGUAGAUAUAUGGAAGAACACCAGUGGCGAAGGCGGCUCUCUGGUCUGCAACUGACGCUGAGGCUCGAAAGCAUGGGUAGCGAACAGGAUUAGAUACCCUGGUAGUCCAUGCCGUAAACGAUGAGUGCUAAGUGUUGGGAGGUUUCCGCCUCUCAGUGCUGCAGCUAACGCAUUAAGCACUCCGCCUGGGGAGUACGACCGCAAGGUUGAAACUCAAAGGAAUUGACGGGGGCCCGCACAAGCGGUGGA
rnacentral:rRNA from 1 species